rnacentral:rRNA from 1 species
AACGAACGCUGGCGGCAUGCCUAACACAUGCAAGUCGAACGAGACCUUCGGGUCUAGUGGCGCACGGGUGCGUAACGCGUGGGAAUCUGCCCUUCGGUUGGGAAUAACUGAGAGAAAUUUCAGCUAAUACCUUAUAAUGUCUUCGGACCAAAGAUUUAUCGCCGAGGGAUGAGCCCGCGUAGGAUUAGGUAGUUGGUGGGGUAAUGGCCUACCAAGCCGACGAUCCUUAGCUGGUCUGAGAGGAUGAUCAGCCACACUGGGACUGAGACACGGCCCAGACUCCUACGGGAGGCAGCAGUGGGGAAUAUUGGACAAUGGGCGAAAGCCUGAUCCAGCAAUGCCGCGUGAGUGAUGAAGGCCUUAGGGUUGUAAAGCUCUUCUACCCGGGAUGAUAAUGACAGUACCGGGAGAAUAAGCUCCGGCUAACUCCGUG